rnacentral:rRNA from 1 species
CCUACGGGAGGCAGCAGUGAGGAAUAUUGGUCAAUGGACGAGAGUCUGAACCAGCCAAGUAGCGUGAAGGGUGACUGCCCUAUGGGUUGUAAACUUCUUUUAUAUGGGAAUAAAACGUUCCACGUGUGGGAUUUUGUAUGUACCAUAUGAAUAAGGAUCGGCUAACUCCGUGCCAGCAGCCGCGGUAAUACGGAGGAUCCGAGCGUUAUCCGGAUUUAUUGGGUUUAAAGGGAGCGUAGGUGGAUUGUUAAGUCAGUUGUGAAAGUUUGCGGCUCAACCGUAAGAUUGCAGUUGAAACUGGCAGUCUUGAGUACAGUAGAGGUGGACGGAAUUCGUGGUGUAGCGGUGAAAUGCUUAGAUAUCACGAAGAACUCCGAUUGCGAAGGCAGUUCACUGGACUGCAACUGACACUGAGGCUCGAAAGUGUGGGUAUCAAACAGGAUUAGAUACCCCUGUAGUC